rnacentral:rRNA from 1 species
AGCGAACGCUGGCGGCAGGCUUAACACAUGCAAGUCGAGCGGGCACUUUCGGGUGUCAGCGGCGGACGGGUGAGUAACGCGUGGGAACGUGCCCUCUGGUUCGGAAUAACUCAGGGAAACUUGAGCUAAUACCGGAUACGCCCUUUUGGGGAAAGGCUUGCUGCCGGAGGAUCGGCCCGCGUCUGAUUAGCUAGUUGGUGAGGUAACCGCUCACCAAGGCGACGAUCAGUAGCUGGUCUGAGAGGAUGAUCAGCCACACUGGGACUGAGACACGGCCCAGACUCCUACGGGAGGCAGCAGUGGGGAAUAUUGGACAAUGGGCGCAAGCCUGAUCCAGCCAUGCCGCGUGAGUGAUGAAGGCCUUAGGGUUGUAAAGCUCUUUUAUCCGGGACGAUAAUGACGGUACCGGGGGAAUAAGCCCCGGCUAACUUCGUG